GGUGGAAGAGUCUGACAGCUCCGGCUGAGCAGGGAUCCCAUCGCAGAUGAGGUGUUUGGGUUUCCCACACACAGCCAAACCUUCACCUUCCUCCAGAGAAAAUGCUUCUCCACUCAUCUUCUGCAGGGAGAAGGAAUUGAGCUUGUUCAUCAGAGUUGUUGUGUGAGGCUUCAUUCUACACCUUGGGCUGGAACUCUGGAUUUCUCUUGCCUUCAAAGUUGUCCGCCCAGGUUUACAGUGCAGGAGUGAGAUGUGGUUCCAGAAUAUUGUUUCUUUCAAACGAAGACAAGGUGCUCAGGGUGAGCCAGCAGCAGAAUUUAUCUGCAGGUGCUUGAAUGCAGUUUUGACAGGAGGCAUUUGGGUUUAAGAUGUACCAGCCCAGAGGACUCCAGGGAUCCCAACCUCGGGUCCUAGCUGGGAGGAUAAGUGCCUCGGUGCUCCUGUAUCACCUCGAGGAACGACCCAUCUCCGACUGCAAAUGACCUUUUGUCAGAAACCGGUUUCGGAUAUGCGGGGGCAGCUCUCAGUGCUGGCGUGUGUGCUUGCAACAAUAUAAAACACGACAUAUCAUACCAUACUUUCCUGAAUCAAAUAUAACAAUAUUAUAUUGGCGCGAAUUACAGCCAUCACAUACAACGAUGGGGAUAUUCUGCUCGUGUUCUGUUUGGAUGGAUGAGAGGCAGGCCGUGAAGAACCAACAGGGGCAUGUGCUGUCCUGUCCUCCCAAACUGUGUGAGGCAGAGCACCCCAUCUGGCAGAGGGACACAGCGGUACGUGGCAGAAUAAACAUUCCGAACUAAGCUUCAAUUAUUUUGCUUUGGUUUUGGAAAGUGACAAGUGAGUCCCAGGGACACAUUGAAAACCUGCUCCGAGCCAAGAAAAUGUUUACAAAUCCCAGUGCAACAACCAAAUCGAUCAAUCCAUGUAUUCUGCUCUGGCCUAUCAGAGUCAAAAGAGCCACAAAUAGUUGGUAGUUGGUGAUGUUUGUGGAGAAGAUGAGAUUUUUUUUUGUU